UUCAGAAGGAAAAUGUGGGGUCUCUGACCCCACACAGAGUCCCUACUGGGGGACCACCUAGUGAAGCUUGAGAAGACAGCCACCAUCCUUCAGACCCCAGAAUGGUAGAUCCACCAACAGCUUGCACUGUGCAUCUGGAAAAACCACAGACACUCAACGCCAGCCUGUGAAAGCAGCCAAAAAGGAGCCUGUACCCUGAAAAACCACAGGGAUCAUGCUACCCAAGACCAUGGGAACCACCCUCUUGCAUCAGUGUGACAUGGAUGUGAGACAUGGAGUCAAAGGAGAUCAUUUUGAAGCUGUAAGAUUUGACUGACCCAUGGAUUUCAGACUUGUAUGGGGCCUUUUGCUGCUUUGUUUU